CCAGUACUCAGUCCAUCUGGGGUUCCUUAGCAACUUUGUUAUAGUUUCCUAGCAACUGAGUGAAGGAUUAUUGGCUUUUUUAUCCCUUUUCUCAGUGUAGCAGUGCUGGCAUUGGAAAAGGGCAGGGCAUCAGUUUAUCCAUCUGGCCAAACUCGUCUACCAAAGAACUGUUGUCCAUGACUAUUCUUAGGAUCCAAUCCAGGCACACGAGAGAUGAUGUACUUUUUCACAAAAGGAGAGAAUACUUUCUAAACAACCAUUUCAUCAGUCAGUGGUGGCAAAAUAGGAAAUGCUGAUGAAGCUCAGACCGAAACCUUUUUCCCCUCCUUCCCUCUUGUCUGUAGUGAAGGUUGGCAAUCAGCAAUAAAACCAUAUUUCUUACAUGGCUCAGUAACUUUCACCCCUCCACACCGGCCAUAUUUCAGCAGAUGAAGUGUUAUAAAUUUCACGUUUCUCUCAAUUCAGCUUUAUAAUGAUUUGAGAAAGAAGGUAGAGUGGUUUGGAAAUGUUGUACAGAUGUCAAAAAGAAAAACCUGACAAGCCCUUGAUUGGAUACCACCUGGUGGAAGAUAGAAAAGAGGAGGACAACAACUUACAUAAGAAAAUAAUUGAGAAAGAUGCCACUGGUAUGGAAACAGACUAUAACUGAGCAAGAAACAUGUAAUUAGACAUCCUGACGUGGAAAGAAUGGAUUGCUCAUGUCAAAGGCAUGAGAGCAUCUGAUAAAAAAAUAAACUUUGAGAGUCCCAAGUCCAGUGAGAGAAGGUCAACUAAUAAUGGUAGUGUCCAUUAGCUUUCUUUGUUGAGAAAGUUAAAGGUACAGCAGAAGGGCAAAAGGUAAAUUCUGCUUGCUGUGAAAUAUACUUUCAAGCUAUAUCUUAACCAAAUGAUCAGGCUCACAAUGGAAGAGCCUGACCUGAGAGAAAGAUUAGUUACAGAGUCAUCAAGAUCAAAAGUUACAAACAUGCUCUAAUAUGUGCAAAAAACCCUCUUUGUACUCCUUUUACCCUUCUUUUUUACACAAAAUAAGUUUGAAAAGUUUUCUUCACCUGGAGAAAAGGAAAAGGCUGGUUCAAGAACAAUUAUAAGGAAAUAAUUCAUGGUCCAAAGAAAAUCCUCAGUUGUGAGGAAAUAGAGAAGAAUUAGAAGGUUUGCCUGAGAAUAAUUUAUUUCUAUCAUCAGUUGCUGAGUCUGAAAGGGAUUAGAAAGGGCACUACAGAAAGGAAACUCCCCCCCUGGAGCAACGUUCUGCAGCAUGCCAUGGCAUGACAGGCACACCUGCCUCAGUCCCCCUUCAUAGUCCCCUGAAAUAGUCUUUAAAUGCUUGCCAAGUAUAAAUAGCCCUUAUGGGGUUAACUCAUUACAAAAGUCCUGUGCACUUAAAUCAUGGCCAAGUCCCUGAACUCCAUCAAUGAUCAGCCCCAGCAUCUCUUUCCACACUUCCUCCCCAGCCAUCUCUGACCCUCCAGUUUUA